CAUGGGUAUGAUUGGAGUGCCAACGGGGAGCAGCGAGAGGACGGGACGGUGGGAAUGCAGACAGGGUCAGAUGAUGUAGUUCACAUGAUACUGGGUGUGGCCACAGGGUCAGAGGGUGUAACCAGAUGGUCAGAGGGGAGUGUGCUUCUGGGUCUAACAGUGAGUGUUAGCGGAGAGAGUUCUCUGGAGAUGGAUCCCGGUCUCCUGGAGGGCUCAGUCCUGACUGAGCAGCAGAAGCUACGCCAUGUGUUGGACUGGGCUAAGAAUUUCCUCGGGACCAGUCAGGAUGGGCACAAUCUCAGCAGAACCUCCCCUUCCUCCCUGCAUUUGCACUCUACUUCAGCAGCGCAUCGACUCGAGGUCGGUGGAAGAGCUGCUGUCUCCCCCCUUGGAACCUUUCACAAUCUUGUCAGAAGCAGAAAUGUGAGGGAAAACAUGGUAGGCCAAUCAGAGCCUCUGACCAGGCUUCCAUACACAACCCCACUGCCCUGCCACACUCUCUCCCACACCCCAGGUGGCCGUGAGUUUUCUGGGCCUGAGUUUAAAGAGAAUCCUGGGCAUAAGGAGCUGGUCCUGUUCUCCGGGCCACAAGAGGAUAACAAUGACCAACCACGUUUCCUUGGUGUAGACAACCCUCAGGCAGACCAGACUCCCCACAAACCAAUAGCUCCUCAUCCUGAGGGGAGAGAUGGUGUUUCCAUCAGUGAGAGACUAAGAGACAGAGACAGUUGCUCCUCAGUGGACAGUGACACUAUCCUAUGGUUGCCUGGAUAUGGUCCUUUAUCCAGAGCCCAUGACCUCAUAUCAAGGGAAGGGGGUUGUGGAGAGAGAGAGGACAGAGUUUUGGGAAUGCAGGAACAGAAAGAUGAGAAGGCGGUGGCGGAGGAGGAGGACCCAAAAACAGGCCUUGAGGGAACUAGUAGUAUCAUGCCUUAUGGAUCCUCUAGGGUCGCACUAGAGGGUGAACAUCUAGAUUGGGGAGCCAAUGGCUGGGUGUCAGAGGGCCUGAGUGUGUAUGAGGAGUAUCUGCUGUGUGUGUCCCGUUUGGACCACCUCAGAACAGAGCAGAACCAAGCACCUGCAGACGUCAUGACCCUACUUGCUGACGUCAUGACCCCACCUGCUGACCAAACGGCUGACCCCUCCGAGCAACCUCUGAGUGCUGAGCUGGUGGUUGCUAAGCAACAUGUCCAUCAGGACAUCCACAACGAGGGGAGGCGUGCACCAUUCAAGAGUUCAGAAGUGAAGAACAGUAGAGUGAUCCAGCCCAAGAGCAGCGGAGGUCAACCUGGUGUCAGGAGUCAGGCUCGUGUCAGAGGUCGCGGUCAUUCCUGGAGGUUCUGGGAAAGGUCAAGCCUCUCCUGGUCAUCCUUCACUCAUGGAGAAGUGCUGCCACGGUCCCAGCUCCCCAACAGACCCCACUCAGCAGGUGUAGUGUCUGAAAGUUCCUGUUCUGGACUCAGACCACCAACAACACUUCAGCUCCCUCUGGCCUGUAGGGGGCUGUGUACAGUGGCUGUCUCUCCCUGA
rnacentral:lncRNA from 13 species